rnacentral:rRNA from 1 species
AUGAUUUCCCCUGUGCCGGCGUCCCCACAAUCGGUUUGCCUGUCAAGGCGGAGGAAGGUAGUGGGCAGCGAUGUGCGAUUGGAUAGGUUGGCUCAUAGCCCAUUGAGGAGACAAGAGGAGAAGCAGGUUUUUGGCGAGGCCAAUGGAUGCUCGGUCGCUGCGUUCCAGGUGGGGUCGGUCCAGAUCCUAGUGGAGCAGGGGUUUCCAUGGACCGAGGGGGCCAAUGGCAGCAUGCCUAGCGAUGGAAGUGACCAUCUCCUCCUUUGUGAGGUGGACAAGGGACUGUCAGAGGUGGAUCUGGAUGGGACGGACUUCGAGGAUGCGCUGCCAUGUGGCUCCUGUUUGGAGGAUAAUGAUGAGAGGGCCCCACCAUGCAUGAACGUGGCCGACACUUUUUGUGUCAGCCUAACAGUGGGAGAGGAGUUCGACAGCUGGCGUGCAGCGGUUCGGCGGGAGCCAUGCACCCCAUGCACGAUGCAGGGAGAGGCAGACCGAUUAGGGAUGCUUUAUGGGCAGCUUAGGCAGGAAAAUGUGCCGGUGCUGCUGUCCAGACCUGAUCGAGGGGCUGGGGCGGCGGCCAGGAGACCAAGGAAGAAGAGGGAGCCAAUCUCAAACCCAAGAAGAAGUGUUCGGCUGGCGCAGAAAUUUGGGCGAGCCUCGCAUGCAACAAAGCAUCAAAACGUGCUGAUCUGGAAGCUCUGUCUAGCGAACGAGGGAGAAACAAUCACUGAUGAGGCUUUGCAGAUGUACGUGCAGCUAUUUGACCGACCGUUGACUGAAAGUCACGUGCAAGCGAUUCUUGCUCUGUUUGGGUGGGAGGCUUUGACAUUGCCGCUGCUCGAGCAAGAUGGUGUGGUAGAGGGGCAGCAAUGA